UGGGGAAUAUUGGACAAUGGGGGAAACCCUGAUCCAGCAAUGCCGCGUGAGUGAAGAAGGCCUUAGGGUUGUAAAGCUCUUUCGCCCGCGAAGAUAAUGACGGUAGCGGGAGAAGAAGCCCCGGCUAACUCCGUGCCAGCAGCCGCGGUAAUACGGAGGGGGCUAGCGUUGUUCGGAAUUACUGGGCGUAAAGCGUACGUAGGCGGAUGCGCAAGUUGGGGGUGAAAUCCCGGGGCUUAACCUCGGAAUUGCCCUCAAAACUGCACGCCUUGAGACCGAGAGAGGUAAGGGGAAUUCCUAGUGUAGAGGUGAAAUUCGUAGAUAUUAGGAAGAACACCAGUGGCGAAGGCGCCUUACUGGCUCGGUACUGACGCUGAGGUACGAAAGCGUGGGGAGCAAACA
rnacentral:rRNA from 1 species